rnacentral:rRNA from 1 species
CGGGGGGCAGCAGUGGGGGUAUUGCACAAUGGGGGAAACCCUGAUGCAGCGACGCCGCGUGUGGGAAGACGGUCCUCUGGAUUGUAAACCACUGUCCCCAGGGAUGAAGAUGACGGUACCUGGGGAGGAAGCUCCGGCUAACUACGUGCCAGCAGCCGGGGUAAGACGUAGGGAGCGAGCGUUGUCCGGAAUUACUGGGUGAAAAGGGAGCGUAGGCGGGGAUGCAAGUUGGGUGUCAAAACUACCGGCUCAACUGGUAGUCGCACUCAAAACUGCAGCUCUUGAGUGAAGUAGAGGCAGGCGGAAUGCCUAGUGUAGCGGUGAACUGCGUAGCUAUUAGGAGGAGCACCAGUGGCGAAGGCGUCCUGCUGCGCUUUUACUGACGCUGAGGCUCGAAAGUGUGGGGAGCAAACAGGAUUAGAUCCCCCGGUAGUC